GCAGAGUCUGAGGAUUGGCCUUUCUGCUGCAUCCACGUCGGCUGAUGCUUUAAAUCCCGCCCGAUGUGCUUCUUCCCCGUGGCAGCACAAAACGUCCCGGUUCCUCCUCUCCAGCCAAGAUUCCACCAGAACUUUCUCUUUCCCAUUACAUCCAAAAACAAAACAAAACAAAACCAAAAAAAAGCCACAGGGAUGGAACAGGUGUGCAAGGGAUCCGAUUUAUUUUCGCACCAGGUGUCAAACCAAAGGCAAAGGGAGCAUGAGCCGUGUGGGAGCAGUGGCAUGGGGUGCAUUUUUGCAGCACAAAACGGGGUAAUUAACCAAGGAGAAAUCCCCAUUAAUGUUAACGGGAAUUACCUGCAGCUAAUUACCCCUCUGUGCUAUAUCUAUGGUUGUGUGAAGCGACUUCAUUGCAAGGGCAGGUGCAGGAGGUGCUCACUGGGGGAUCUGCUGAGAUUGUGAAAGCAUUUCCUUGAGUUUUUCAACCUAAAGGGAAAACUUGGUUCCUUCCCAGACCUGCCUUUUUUUGUGUCAAAUCGGGGUCACCGUCUACAGCCGGAGGAGACGCCUGCAAUUCUCUGCCCUGGAUUUAAGACGCUCCCAAAGGGCACCAGGAACACUGCUUUGGACCUCGUUUUUUGGGCCAGAUCCAUCCACCAAGGACAGGAAGGGCAUCGGCUGCUGGAUGAGGCUGGAAGGCAGCGACUCCAUCCCCAAACAGGGAUUUUCUGUGAUGCCGGCCUGUUGCGGCAGGAGCAGGCUGUGGGGAAGCCCUUAUCCCAAAAACCAAGCCAAACGCAACCAAACCAGCUCCUUUUGCUCCUUUCCAGGGGCUGUCAGCUGAGUGCCUUCACCAGCCGCUGAAUUCACACGAAAUUAAAACCCAGGCAAAACCCAAUGAAGCCAGACACCCAAUCCAAACGGCAAUAUUUUUUUUCCACCAAUUUACAUCACUUACUGUCUCCUCUAAUGUCCUGGGAUCCGGCUGACGGCCCGCACGCUCCUCGCUGUGUUUUCUUGUGCUUCGGUACUAAAUCUGGAGGCUGUCAAAGACGUUUUGCCCGGGGAAGAUGGCUCCUUCUCUAAACGUUUUGGGAUGCUCGGUUCACGCCUCUCCUGGGUCACUGCUCCAGCUCGGGGGGGUCAGAGCUUUUGCACCCAGAAAGCAGCUGCAGAGCUGCAAGGGGAUAAAAUUGGGGUCAAGAAGGAUUUGUGAGGAGCAGAUAUCUCACACCUGCCCCCAAACUCCCCCUCUUCACUGCUUUUGCCUGGGUGGCCCUUCUGCACUUUGAGCCUCAUCUCUGCCUCUUGACGCAUUUCGCCUAUGGGCUACAGCAUCCAAAGCUGGAAGAAAAAAAAAAAUGCUCCAUGCCCCUCCUGAGGAGCACAGAAAAGGGGAUGCUGAGGGAUGGAGGCUCAGCACAGGAAAGCAAGAGGAGAAUAAAGUCUUGACGGAGGCAUCUGGGAGCUGCAGCUUGUCCAGGAGCUGACAGCACCCGUUGGGUCAAGCACGGGUGGCUGCGCAGCUCCACUCAGCUUCACCUUGGGGCUGGCUAUUUAGGGAGGUGUCCUCGGGGUUCCCACGUUGGACAGCCCCGUGAGCAUUGUUUCUUCCUCCUCUUGUCAGUGAUAGUCCCGUGAGACUAAAGAGAAUGUGAUGCCUUUGAGAGGGGGCUAUCAAAUCUGCCAUCAGAUAAAGCGAGAUUUGAUUUCCAGGCAUCCCCACGCAAAAGCACGCCCAGCUUUUCCUGGUGAAUGAAAGGCUGUGGGAGAGCAAAUCCAGCCCAUGCAAAGGAAUUUCACCAAUUAAUUGAUUUGAUUUAAUUUGUUUUGAUUUGAUUUUGCGCUGACCUAUGCAGGGCCCGAUUUCUUUUACGGCGGUUGGUUAUUUUAA